rnacentral:rRNA from 1 species
UACGUAGGGGGCAAGCGUUGUCCGGAAUGAUUGGGCGUAAAGGGCACGCAGGCGGCCGCAAUAGUCUGAUGUGAAAGGUCCCGGCUCAACCGGGGGAAGUGCAUUGGAAACUGUGCGGCUUGAGUCCAGGAGAGGAGAGUGGAAUUCCACGUGUAGCGGUGAAAUGCGUAGAUAUGUGGAGGAACACCGGUGGCGAAGGCGGCCGUGCUGGGCAGUAGCUGACACUGAGGCGCGACAGCGUGGGGAGCAAACAGG